UAAUCUGAAUUUUUCAAAGCUGGCAGAAUUGUACUUGAUUUCUGAAUGAAGAGAAAAGGAGGAAGAACUGUUCCCUGAGCAGAAAUAUCUGUUUCCUGAGGAGCCCCGUGUGCUGAAGACAACCAUGUCAGACUGACAGUCCUUGGUCCUCACAUAGAUGUGGUUCUUCAGCAAUAACUGAAUGUUUGACCUGUAUGUACAGUAUAUCGCUCUUUCUCCAGUUGGAGGCGGUAUAAAGCAGGUUUCUCUUCAUCAUCCACCCCCACACACAAAACCAGACAAACAAUGCCACAAAAGCAGAAACCAGCAACCCCACAUUGUCACUUUAAAAAGAGGUUUUCCUGUCUUAGGUUUCAUUGAGAAGAACAAACAAGCGCCAGAAGACAAUGUGCCAUCAGAUGUCUGAACAUGAGCAAAACUCAAAGAUGAAGAUAUGUGAACUUACGAUCAUCAUCCUCAUACUUUUACUUCCAAUCAAAGGUGCAACAGUUACUCCAAUUUCUGUGCUGCUGGGAAAGCCCUUUGUCUUUCAUCUGCCAAAUGUACCGGAUAGAUUCAAAAUCAACUUCAUUGAAUGGAAACAAGCAAAUAAACUUUUGGCUACUAUUGAACCUAAUAAAGAACCUGUGCUAUUUGCCAUUCAGACUAGAAUUAAAUUCAUGAACAAUGGAUCAAUGUUCAUCAAAGAUUUCCAGCGUGAAGAUGCUGGGAAUUACACUUGCAAGAUCAUUUCCCAAAAUGGUGAAACUGAAACACACGUUGUCUCCUUGACUCCAUACUCAG